GAGGGGCGGCCAGAGGAGGAAAACAAGAACAAAAUGGAGUAAGGGGACAGCUAUAAGAACAAAAUGGAGCUGUAACAGACAGUUGUUUUGGCUGAAACUUUCUAAAAAACUUCAACUUGAGGCAAACACUAGCCUUCAAGAUUCACGUAUUCAAGAUUCUCUCUGCAACCAUGAGGACUACAAACUAGCUUUUAAAAAAAAUGGAAUCUCAGAGUCUCAUGUAGUCACAAGACUUCAGGAGUUGAGACUUUAAGGAAAGCACCAAAUAUUCAUGAUGACAUUGUGAGAGACUUUGAAGGGCCAAUCCGACCUGCCAGCCAGUUGGAGGGAAACAGAGACGCAGCUAUGCUUCAAGCACUCCCCAUUAAAGCAGCCUUGAUGAUGCCGCCAGUAUUUAUUCUGGACUGCAGCCUGGACAGCUGCUAACUCUACUCACCCCUGGCAACAGGUCUAAGAACGGACAAGUUUAUUUCACCAUGGUGGAAUUGCAAACUGACUUCUUUUUUGUUUGCUUUUUUUUUUUAAGUAU